UUUCAUAGAAGAGGGCUUUAACUGAGUUCAAACUUCAGGAAUUUUUGUCACUGAUUAUAUUGAUUAACGAGUGCUCUUACAUUUUCUGUACAACUUGUGAGAAAGUAGUGAUUGUAGUUAAUUUUUAGUGAGUGUCACAAUUGAUAAUGUCUCUGAUUCAUAUUAUUAUAUUCUCUUUCCUUCACCCACAGCAAAACAAGCUUAAUUUGAUUUAUAUCCUUAGAAGAAAAAAAACCUAAUAUUACUCACAUGGUCAUGAUUCAGCUUUUGGCUCGUUCCCGUUCCUCUUUCCCUUCUCCUCCUCUUUUUCCUUCUUCUCCUCCUCUUCCUCCUCCUCCUCUUCUCCUACCCUGCCCACUACUGUAUUUGCUCCCACCCACGAUGUUGUUGUCAUCAAAGAACUGAGUCAGUUUGUUCUUAAAAAUGGGUGGGGUCAGGAGACAAGUAAUAAAAAAAAUUUUCUGAGUGAAGUGUUCGGCUUCUGUGUGAAACAACUGCAAGAAGACAGGCAGUUCCUUCCAUGACAGGAAAUGUUUAGAACACAGUCCAGUCCUCAUCAACACAUGCUUCCAACAUCUUACAUAAAUCUGCAUGUAGCUCAUAUGCAUGUUUGUAGAGGGAUUCAUAUAGCAUUGUCAUGGAGGCAUGUUCCUAUGAGAUAAUUCUAAUACUGGAAAUUUUAUAUAAACUAUAUAUAAAGCUAAUGUGCUCUCUGAGUAGAGUACUUUGUUAAACAGUAUAUGAUUUUUGUUGUUGUUGUUUUGUAGACAGGAUCGCACUCUGUAGCUCAGGGUGGUAUUGAACCUUUGUUUCUCCUGCCUCUGCUUACCACAGCAGGAGGUUAUAAGCAUGUAUCAUUAGACCUGGCAUUCUCCAAAGAUUUUUGAUUGCUACAAAAUACAACUGAUGAAGUCACUUUAUUUGCUUUCAAAUAAACAGUGUGACUGGAAACUUGAGACUGUUUUUCCUACCCUUGGAGUGGAAGAAAACUAUUGGGGGUGUCUGGCUCAGCCUUGAUGAUGUGAUGUCGGAGGAGGGGGAAGAAGAAAUGGACAGAUCCAAACAAGGAACAAUUGAAUGAAACGCAGAUAACUCGUUAGAAAACUUUUGUAGGAAAAGUGCCUCAUGUGAUCAGAACAAAGGCGUUUUGUAAUCAGAUUUAAGCAAGCGGAGAAGAGGGAGUUUCAGCAACGGAAGCUACAGUGUUCUGUCACCAGGAAACACUGCGUUAUCCAGAAUCGGUAAGUGAAAAGUGUCAUUGUCCCUAAUAGAGAUCAUAUGAUAUGUGAGAGAAUUGAAAAUUGUUCACAGACCCCCUUCUAACAAGUGUGUGGGAAAGACAACAUAUAAACAAAGGUAAGAUUUUUUUUAAAACCAGACAACCCCCAUAGUAUAGCAUAAAAGCUGAGAAGGAGGCAGGUAAUUAACAAAAUGAACUGGGUGUUACUAGUUCCGCCAAACAUAUGUGCUAGAACUAGCUCUCACUUUUCGAACAUGGGGCAAAGCAGAAGAUCAAAAUGGGCUGCUUGCUUGAAUUGCUACAUUAAUUUUCCAUGGAUAGAGAUUUGCAUUUAGUCUGACUAACAAGAUGAAAUUUGACUAGGAACUUUCAGAAUCAGUCGGCGCCUUUGCCUCCCUGUUGUGUCGAGUAUUUUAUCUAGAUCUUUUCAAAAUGAAAGUUGAAGCAGUGCACCCAAAACAUCUGAUUGUGAGCACAGAUUAUGAUGGUCGUAGAUUUUUGUUUUGCAUUCAUGUCAUGAUUUUAAGAUUGUUCUGUUUGAUUACAUUAGUAAGGCAAAAGGGCUCCUAUUUCCAUAUAGUCCAUAGCAUUUUCAAGAUGGUAAUGAGGAAGUAACUCUUUGGAAUGGUGUGGUGCCUAUCUGUGUCUGCCUAUCUUCCUUUCUCUGAAAAGUGAAAUUCGGUUUUCUGAUUUUUGAUUCUGAGCUCCUUCUAUGCUUAAGGUUUCUAGAAAAAGACCGGGCAGCUUUGAAUAUCUGUGUUCCAAAGGACAGUGAAAUAGCAGUUUUGUGUUAAGUAUGAAUGUAUGAUUUCUUGACUUUGCUGAAUAAAGACUGUGUGAAGGUUGAGCACAACAAGAAAAAUGAGGAUAGUUAGGUGGCUGCUUGAUUGUUUCCAGUUUCUUACUGGUCAGUAGAAGUAAUCAUAUGAUAUAUACUUAUGUAGUUUUAGAUGGAAAAUAUUUUAAGUGUCAAUAAUUAUAUAGGUGUGCUGGGCAAUCUCCAUUUAUGGGUGCAAACAUGCAAUAACGACAGGAACAGAAUUGUGCUUGGAAUGAAAAAGGGUGUAACAUUGUUUAUUUUGCUUUAAGUACCUCUAGCUAAAUUAAAAGUUGGAUGUGCAUUCCUGGCCUUCUGGUUCCCAUUCUGUUGCUUUUGCAAUCAUAAAAUCCUCAACUUAAAAAAAGAAAAGAAAAGAAAAAAGAAAAAAAAAGAAAGGAAGGAAGGAAGCUGUAGCAGGAUAGCAAAGCUGCGAGUUCUCCGUUAGCUGAGUGGGCUGCAGAUGGGGAAAAGGAAGAUGAGUGUUUUGGAAUCUGUAAAUUGCCCCCCACACACAUACUUUUAGCGACUGAAGAUCCUUUUUCUUAGGCUAAUAGCUCCCACCACUUCUGUCUAAAUUAAAAGGCAAGCAUGGCUGUGGAGUGAA